GGUUCUUUAGGUUAACACAGUAGACCGUGAGCUUCCCAAGCUUAACGUGAGGGUGCAAACCCCUCAGGCCCUA
rnacentral:tRNA from 1 species